UCCCUGGUAGUCUAGCAGUCAGGACUUGGCACUUGCAACACCAUGGCCCAGGUUCAAUCCCUGGUCUGGGAA
rnacentral:tRNA from 1 species